UACGGGGGGGGCAAGCGUUGUUCGGAAUUACUGGGCGUAAAGGGUUCGUAGGUGGCCAACUAAGUCAGACGUGAAAUCCCUCAGCUCAACUGGGGAACUGCGUCUGAUACUGAUUGGCUUGAGUGCAGGAGAGGAACGCGGAAUUCCAGGUGUAGCGGUGAAAUGCGUAGAUAUCGGGAGGAACACCAGUGGCGAAGGCGAGUCUCUGGGAUGAUGCUGACGCUGAGGCGCGAAAGCCAGGGGAGCAAACGGG
rnacentral:rRNA from 1 species